UACGUAGGGGGCACGCGUCGUCCGGAUUCAUUGGGCGUAAAGAGCGUGUAGGCGGCCAGGUAGGUCGGUUGUGAAAACUGGAGGCUCAACCUUCAGAGGUCGACCGAAACCAUCUGGCUAGAGUCCGGGAGAGGAGAGUGGAAUUCCUGGUGUAGCGGUGAAAUGCGCAGAUAUCUGGAGGAACACCGGUGGCGAAGGCGGCAUCCUGGACCAACACUGACACUGAGGAGCGAAAGCCAGGGGAGCAAACGGG
rnacentral:rRNA from 1 species